AUUGAACGCUGGCGGCAUGCUUUACACAUGCAAGUCGAACGGCAGCGCGGGCUUCGGCCUGGCGGCGAGUGGCGAACGGGUGAGUAAUGCAUCGGAACGUGCCCAGUAGUGGGGGAUAGCCCGGCGAAAGCCGGAUUAAUACCGCAUACGACCUGAGGGUGAAAGCGGGGGACCGAAAGGCCUCGCGCUAUUGGAGCGGCCGAUGUCGGAUUAGCUAGUUGGUGGAGUAAAGGCUUACCAAGGCGACGAUCCGUAGCUGGUCUGAGAGGACGACCAGCCACACUGGGACUGAGACACGGCCCAGACUCCUACGGGAGGCAGCAGUGGGGAAUUUUGGACAAUGGGGGCAACCCUGAUCCAGCCAUGCCGCGUGCGGGAAGAAGGCCUUCGGGUUGUAAACCGCUUUUGUUCGGGAAGAAAUCCUCUGGGCUAAUACCCCGGGGGGAUGACGGUACCGGAAGAAUAAGCAGCGGCUAACUACGUG
rnacentral:rRNA from 1 species